GCAUUGGCUCCGCCUCUAGUGUUGUCUUCCUACUUCGGUGGUGCUCGGCAAUUCUUCUUAAUGUGACCUGUCUUUCCACAAUUCCAGCACUCUACAGGCUGUCUGAAUUUGGACUGACCCCGUCCAUUCCUUGACUUCGAUCUGCCAUUACUCUAGUUAUUUCUAUCUGGGUUUCUCCCUCUGUUUUCCACGUUGAAAGCAGAGCUCGUUGAUGCCUCCCCAGAGUCUAUCCUUCGAACUUCCUCAGCAAGGAUACGAUCUCUAACAUCAUUGAAUUUGAGCUUUUGAGUACCCACAAAAUUACUAACCGCUGCCCUCAUUGGCUCCCAACUAUUUGGCAAAGAUGCCAACAAAAUCAGUGCUCGCACUUCAUCAUCAAACUCGAUUUCAACUGAUGACGGUUGAAAAUCGUGUUGAACUCGUUCACAUGCGCGGCAACCAGGCCACCUUCUUCCAUCCUCAAAUGAAAGAGUUUCUUCAUGAGAAACACCUUAUUGUUUGCCGAAGGUUUCUCAUACAUAUCUAAGAGAACUUUCAUGAGUCCUUCUGUGGUCUUCUCCUUCGCAACGUUGUGAGCAACGUUUUCGAUAGUGUUAACCUUAUAACACCCAGAACUUGUCUGUCAAGGAGCUCCCACUCAUCCUUAUCCAUCUUCUCAAGCUUCUUGCUCAGCAGUUGAUGAAGCUUCUUUCCGUACAGAUAAUCUUCAAUUUGCAUUCUCCUAAAUGCAUAAUUUGUACCGUCAAAUUUUCCUAUACUGUGCGCCGAACCAUCUUCGCCUUCCAUCGUUUCUGGAACUACCGUGUAUUAGAACACCUUCGUCGACAAACCGAUGUUACCGACAAAAUUCACUAUUCACGAAUGACUGUUCAUGUGAAUAGUAACUCCGCAAAAAUUUGACCGAUCACCGUAACUCAAGCUCUGAUACCAGUUGUUAGGAAAUACGCGGUUAAAUUUUGCGGUAAACCAGAAUUUAUGGGAGCGGGAAAGAAGCACACACACCAAAUUGUUAACGGAGUUCGGUCAAUGUUGCUAACGUCUCCGGACCUGUUACAGAUCUUUUAUUAUCAACCCGGGAAAUUUUACAAGCUCACAACUCACACCCCGAUCCCAAAUACACUAAAAAAUACUCGUAAUUUCUUAAAGAAGAUUUUUUGUGAGAAUUUUUUUUUCUCUCUCUUCUUCUCUUUCUUUGUUCUCCCUGCGUUUUUCUUGUUAUGGGAUGAUUCUGAACAAUGAGAAACAUCAUGUAUUUAUAGGAGAGUUUACGAGAGGUUGGUGAGAAGUAGUCGUUGACAAAACAACUCUAGCCAUUCUUUUUUAUUUUAGUUUCACCAUGUCUCCACGUAACAACUCUUUCACCAUCCAUCACCGUCAACAUUUAACAUGUGAUCUUUUAACAUUUCAAACCUAGAGGAGAACGCAAUCUGUAAUCAUUUCAACACAACAUUACAUGUUAGAAGUUUUACAAUAAUUUUCUUUGAACGUUAUAACAUUUAGGUGUAUUUCAAAGUAGACAACCAUAUCAAAACAUCUUGUACGAAAAAUAUAUUUGACUCAGUUAGCUAUCGAAGAAAAAAAACUAAUUUAUUAGUAACUUUAGUGAUAAAACCAUAUAUUUUCAGAUAUAGUUGAUGAUGUGGCACUUACAUUAGUUCGAGGGAUAAGAUUGUUGUAUACGUGUAUUCUAAUGACUAAGAGGAGAAUAUCUUCUAAUUAAGAUAAGAAAAUCUUAGUUAAAAAAAGAUAAGAAAAUCUUUGGUUACAAUGUGUCAACCUAGCUAGAAUGUGAUAAGAUUAUUGUAUUCUACUGAGUAAGAGAAGAAUAUCUUCUAAUUAAGAUAAGAAAAUCUUUGGUUACAAUGUUUUCAACGUUAAAAUAUAUUUCAAAGUCAUGUUCUAUCUCUUUAUAUAGCAGCUCAAUUUUCUCUAGUCUCUCAAUCUCUACGCCUAUAAUUCUUCGAUUGUCUACAGAUCAUCUUACCACAUCCUAUAUCUCUAGGUUCUCUCUCCAGCUAUUGUGUAAUGUUUCAUCAAUUCUUUUUUGCUAAGAUAGUGUUUCAUCAAUUAAUGGUUGAAACUUGUGCACAAGCUGAAGCGAGUGACAUAGAGACGUGGGAUGGUGGUGAAUAUGCACAUAUUGUUUUUGUUCGUUCCUCUCAACUAAGUUCUUAAUUGUAUAUAUAGCCUACGUAUCUAUCCAUAAAUCAAUUUGUCAAUCGUCUCAUACGAAUGUUCUGCUUUCACUGGCUUGUAGCCUUGUGUAGAGUCUUCAGGUACUGGUUGAAACUCAUGCACACCGUCUCAAGCGGGUGAGAACUAGAGCAUUGAUAUAGGGACCGUACGGUGUAACAAGGACGCUGCUUGGAACCCAUCAACAAAGGAAACAUGACUCGGCUGGAUCUUCACAGUACCAAAAGGCUUCCAAGCACAAUCUUGUGUGAAAUCCCCUCUCCUCGCGGAAAGAUUGGCGAUCUGUUCGGCCCUAUCCCACGCGAUUCACCUUGGACACACUAAAGUCUGGAUUUGAUCAGACUCCCUCAGGCUCGUCAGAGCUAUCGUUUCGAAGACAAAACUGAAGAAUCUCCACAGAAUUCUAUCGAACAUCGAAACCCUAUAUGCUUCUUUUAUUUUCUGUUUUUUUCUCCUUUGUUUCCAGAGAGCGGAAUGAGCCUGCUGAUUGUGUGGCUAAGGCUGCACUCUGUAACAUGAACUCCAUUUGGGCAUGAGCCUAAUUUCUAUGAUAAAUUUAGCUGUUCAAAAAAAAAGUCUGAAUAAAGGAAACGAAUAUGGAAUAUGGAAUUA